rnacentral:rRNA from 1 species
UACAGAGGGGGCAAGCGUUAUUCGGAUUUACUGGGCGUAAAGCGCACGUAGGCGGAUCGAUCAGUCAGGGGUGAAAUCCCAGAGCUCAACUCUGGAACUGCCUUUGAUACUGUCGAUCUGGAGUAUGGAAGAGGUGAGUGGAAUUCCGAGUGUAGCGGUGAAAUGCGCAGAUAUCAGGAGGAACACCAAUUGCGAAGGCAGCUCGCUGGGACGUUACUGACGCUGGAGACGCGAAAGCGUGGGGAGCAAACAGG